rnacentral:lncRNA from 1 species
GCUUCCACCUGCUCUCUUUAGGAUGCUCACUCCUUGAAGCCAGCCACCAUGCUAUGAGGAAGCCCAAGCAGCCACACGGAGAGGUCACAUACAAGUGUUCCAGUGGACCACCAUGCCUGAGGCUCCAACCCAUGGUCAGCAUCAGUUGUCACAAACGUUCUGCAGUCUUGCUGAAUCCCCCCACCCCUUUGAGCCUCCGGCUCCUUGUCUAUAAAAUGAGAAUAGUACUACCCAGCAUGAAGGAGGGUGAGGAAGAGGAGGCCACAGCACGUGUGAGAACACCUGACACACCACGGAUGCCAGGUCACCUCCAGACAACCACGUGAGCUGGACAUCCUCCUUUCUGCUUUACAGAUGAGGAAACUGAGGUUGCAGAACAGCGGGGAGUCCCUGCAGGAACCACAUCAGCGACCACCUAAGACAACGAUUCUUUCAGAGGCUCUGCAAGGUUAGAAGGCCUUAUUCGCCUUAUAUCUGCUCUUUCUUCUGCAAGCACACAGCGGGAUUUUCCAGAGGCCACAGGGGAUCGAAUGCGGAAACAGACAUGAAAACCCAACUGUCUUCUCUUAAGUGAACCAUCAAAGAGACUUGCAAGAAACAUAAAGUGAUGCCAC